rnacentral:rRNA from 1 species
UACGUAGGCGGGAAAUUAAGUCAGUAGUGAAAUCCCACAGCUUAACUGUGGAACUGUUAUUGAUACUGGUCUUCUUGAAUAUAGUUGAGGUAGGCGGAAUGUGUAAUGUAGCGGUGAAAUGCUUAGAUAUUACACAGAACACCGAUUGCGAAGGCAGCUUACUAAGCUAUGAUUGACGCUGAGGUACGAAAGCGUGGGGAGCGAACAGGAUUAGAUACCCUGGUAGUCC